GCACAUCCGAGAGGUCAUCUCUUUCUGUGGCAGACACAAACAAACAGCACACAGCUGAGCGAACCUUUCCAAAGCCAAUUCAUCACUGAUCACAUGACAACACACUGCUGUAGGCAACAUACAGGCCUGGACACCAGCCACCAAACGGAUGCAGACGCGGCCAGUGUCACAAUCGGACACGAUCGGAAAAUCGACACGACUCUGUGUGCCGAAUAAUCUCCCAACCCGUGCUUAAUUCAGCACAUCGUUUUGCUUUGACUAAUUAAAUAAUGUUUUAGAAUGUGUUCCAGAGGGCGGCCGCGUCAGAGGUCGUUUCUAUUCAUAGCCUUACUGUCCAUCCUGUGACCCAUUUCUAAAUCCACUGGCUGGCAUGUUUCUGCAGUCAGUCAGUCAGCUGCUGAGCCACAGCACAGGGCACACAAACACACUCUGAGAUAAUAGAAAACCACAAAUUCCACUGCAGCAGA